GCGACCCCAGGAUGGGCGAGGCCACCCGCCGAGUUUAAGCAUAUCAAUAAGCGGAGGAGAAGAAACUUACGAGGAUUCCCCUAGUAACGGCGAGCGAACCGGGAUAGGCCCAGCAUUGGAAUCGGGCAGCCAUGUAGCAGCUCGAAUUGUAGUCUGGAGAAGCGUCCUCAGCGACGGACCGGGCCCAAGUCCCCUGGAAAGGGGCGCCGGGGAGGGUGAGAGCCCCGUUCGGCCCGAACCCUGUCGCAACACGAGGCGUUGUCGGCGA
rnacentral:rRNA from 1 species